AUUGAACGCUGGCGGCAGGCCUAACACAUGCAAGUCGAGCGGAUGAAGGGAGCUUGCUCCUGGAUUCAGCGGCGGACGGGUGAGUAAUGCCUAGGAAUCUGCCUGGUAGUGGGGGAUAACGUCCGGAAACGGGCGCUAAUACCGCAUACGUCCUGAGGGAGAAAGUGGGGGAUCUUCGGACCUCACGCUAUCAGGUGAGCCUAGGUCGGAUUAGCUAGUUGGUGGGGUAAAGGCCUACCAAGGCGACGAUCCGUAACUGGUCUGAGAGGAUGAUCAGUCACAAUGGAACUGAGACACGGUCCCGACUCCUAAGGGAGGCAGCAGUGGGGAAUUUUGGACCAUUGGCGGAAGCCUGGUCCAGCCAUGCCGGGUGUGUGAAGAAGGUUUUCGGAUUGGAAAGCACUUUAAGUUGGGAGGAAGGGCAGUAAGUUAAUACCUUGCUGGUUUGACGUUACCAACAGAAUAAGCACCGGCUAACUUCGUG
rnacentral:rRNA from 1 species